GCCAACAUGGUGUAGUGGUUGGAGCACUGGACUAUGACUCUGGAGACCAGGGUUCGCUUCCCAGCUUGGCC
rnacentral:tRNA from 1 species